CACAUGCUUCGGUGAAGCCUCCUGAUUGAUUUUCCGAUCCCCUACUUCUUUUCUUCUUCGUUCUAACGAUCCCACUUUCUCUUCAUCUUCUCCGUUUCACAGAUCUUUAACGCGGGCAAUCAAUUUCCCCCACUCCUCCGAGCUUUAAAUCUCAUUAAUAGAUCGUUAUCGCUUUCUCCGUCCGCGAUUCUAUAUAGAGCUCUUGAUCGAUGUGUUUUUUGGAUCUAAAACUGUUCUAUCCUCUCAACUGCUCAUUGCGAUGAAGGUAUCCGACGUCUCCGACUCAUUGAAGAGGAACGAUGAUGCGGCGAACACCUCCAAUUCCGACAAGCCCGUCUCUCAAAUAGGUGUCUCUUCCGGUGGCGACGGCUCAAUGAAAUCCACAGGUAGAGCGGCUGUAUCGAAGAGUCCGAUCAAAUCCGUAUCUAAAACUGACAUCUCAUCUGGCGUUGUAAAUCCGGUGAGAUCCAGAGGUGCAACGGCUGGAUCGCAAUGUCUGAUCCAAACACACGGCAAAACCGGUGCUUCUUCCGGUCCCGUUAUCGGCGGAAAUGGAAUGAACUGUCCAAGGACGAGCAUAUACAGAUCAGUUUCAAGGGACUGAAGAGGCUUGUGUUGGAGGCUGUGACGUUUGGUUCGUUCCUAUGGGAUGUGGAGAGUCAUGUAGAUUCAAGAUAACAGAAAGUUUCGAGCUUUAUGUGUUCUGUGAGUCUAUUGCUUGAUCAAUCAUUGUAUGAGAAGCAGUUUUACUCUUUGUGUGUGGUUUGUUCAGUUAUAGGGAAGGAGCUUUGGCCAAGGGAGGAGAAGAGUGAACAAAAGAACCAGCUUGGCUCAGAAGGAAGAUGUAAUCAAGAGAACUGUUUGUCUCUGACAUCGAUCAACAGGUUAAAGAAAGGGGAAUCUGUUGGUUUUAACCUUUCGUCAUUGGGAUGGAUCCACCCAGUACAAACUACUCUGUCAUGAAGAGAGCAAUUGAUGAAGAUUGUAGAGGCGUCAUCGCUAAAAUGAAUCAAAACAGCUGCUAGACAAGUUGUGCGCUUCUGGAGGACGUUUGCGGAUGGAUUAAUGCUAAAGCCAUUGUUCCAGUAUGGGCCAAGAGCCUAAGAUGACUUCUAACAGAGGGACGGACAUCUUCCUCGCAGGCAGCUCAGAUCAUGUUAUGGUUGUAGAGCUGUGAAGUUUAAGACAGCCGAGUCUAUGUUUCCCAGUGCAGAUCGAAGCUCUAAGUAGGAGGAACAAGAGAAUGAUAGAAAUAGAUCUUUUAUGGUUCAGAGCACAACAGAUUUAGAUUUAAGUAUGUGGAGCUCAUCAACAAAUUGAACAAGUACAAUUCCAAAGUUUAACAUCUUGGGGGUAAUGACGGAUGGGAGUUAUAGGUUGCUGAAACGAGAGCGCUGAAGAAGGAUUUAACAAAUAAGGUACAAGCUUCAUUUUAUAAACAUUAACACACAGUCUUUGCAUUGGCUGAUGGAACAAGCUUUAUUUUUCUUUGUGGUUACAUGAAUCUACUUGCUACUGCUUCGGGUUUGGUUUUGAACAUGUUUAUGAGAUUGACCUUGACAAAGAUCCGCUAAAGAAGGACGGUUGUUCUUGAACGCCACGUCAGGGAGCAAUAUAUUUUUCGACAAAGAGACUAACACAGGGGAGAACAUUGAUUGUGGGAACAUCUUCAAGUGGUCUCACCUCCAAAAGGUGGACGUAAGUGGUAAGAUCGUUGGAAAUCAGCAACUGUGAGAACAUCUUCAAGUGGGCUCACCUCCAAAAGGCUAGCAAUUGCAACUACCAAGGUGACCAAGAAGGACGAGUGGCUUAAGUGAAGAUGAUGAAUUACCUGAAUGCAAUACUUUUUGAAUAAUGCUUAUGUAUCGAUGUUGUUUUCCUUCUUUUUUUAACUUUUGAGUACUCUAAUGGAUUUUGAUAUGGUUUUGAAACUCUCUAUAAAAUGCUUAUUUAUCAAA